GAAGAUUUAUCAACUAAGUAAAACUUGUGAUUGAACUUUAACUCCAAAGCUAUCCAAUGCUAAGAUCAUAAGUUAGAUUCAUUAAUAUACUUCUUUCAAAGUCAAUAUUAUCAUGGUUUUUUAUCUUUUUUUAAACAAUAAUAUCUAAUAUUGAAUAAUCUAGAAGUUUUUUUGAGAGUGUUUUAAUCUUUAUUUGAAAAACU
rnacentral:lncRNA from 1 species